UACAGAGGGGGCAAGCGUUGUUCGGAAUUACUGGGCGUAAAGCGCACGUAGGCGGAUCUUUAAGUCAGGGGUGAAAUCCUGGAGCUCAACUCCAGAACUGCCUUUGAUACUGGGGAUCUCGAGUCCGGAAGAGGUGAGUGGAACUCCGAGUGUAGAGGUGAAAUUCGUAGAUAUUCGGAAGAACACCAGUGGCGAAGGCGGCUCACUGGUCCGGUACUGACGCUGGGGUGCGAAAGCGUGGGGAGCAAACAGG
rnacentral:rRNA from 1 species